rnacentral:tRNA from 1 species
CAGGGAGACAACAAAAUGUUAAAUAUUAAUUUUGUCACCUUAGGUCGAUCGGUAUCUCACAUUCUCAACUUAUUAAGAAUUUUAUUUCCUAAGUUUUUUCUAGGUCACACCCAUUAUUUUCCUGGGCCAUUAGCUCAGGUGGUUAGAGCGCACCCCUGAUAAGGGUGAGGUCCCUGGUUCAAGUCCAGGAUGGCCCAUAUCUCUAUGUUGGGGGUAUAGCUCAGUUGGUAGAGCGCCUGCUUUGCAAGCAGGAUGUCAGCGGUUCGAGUCCGCUUACCUCCACUGAUUACCACCUCUUCCAUAAUUCAUAGAAGGGAAAUUUUUUGAGUCGUGAUCACAUUCUGAACGAAUCUAGCUUCCUAAUAAUUUUAUUAAGAUGCUGGACUCAUUGAAUUAAUUUUCAUUGUUUUCAGAGAACCUUGACAACUGCAUAGAUUAUUUUUAAAGACAAUAAGCAUCUUUAAUGAUGCAGAUUUAUUAUUUGUGCGAAUGCAUUAAAUAACAAUUCUAUUAAGCUGAUGCUUCAAAUUUUUGAAGUUAUU